GGACGGCAACCGCUUUAACAUUGGCUCCAUUUUCAGAUGCUAGCCAACCUGCUACCUUUUCCCAGCAAUUUCUUUUGUUGUAUUAAGAGCAAUGGCAUGCUUUCAGUACAUAAUGGGUACUUACAUGCUUCUUGCUAAAUUGAGACAUUGAAGAACAUUUUCUCCUGUUCAGCUCUGGAGAAAAAAAGGAACAUCAAAUUUAUAUGGCGUAAUAUCUGCUCGGGUAAGAAAUAAGCCAGAGCAUUUUGACUUUAAGGUCAGGCUGAAAAGGACAGCAGUGCACAGAUUAAUGGAUGGCUGAAAAGACACAAAGGUCCCUGCCAUGACGAGAGACCUCAGCCUUGAGGUCGCUUAGCUCAAAGAAGUGGGAAGUCCAUGAGAGGUCAUGCUGGACUGCAACUGAUAUCUGCACUCGGAAAAGUAAACACCACUGAAGCUGGAGAUCAUGAGUGUGUGUCAAAUUGGAGGUGUUGUCGAAAGGCACCAGAGAGAUGUAUGAGAAAGAAAACCGUUACAGACAUCAGUGUGGAGAGGAACGUGUCCAUAUGGAUGCUGCAACUGUGCCUAUUUCAUCCCUCCAGCUCCAUGUUAGCACUAUGGACAAUGGUCUUUGAUGCCCAUCUGACCUCACACUGUGAUGACACCUCUGCUGACCUGUUAAGAUCUUGACACUGUGUGAAGCUUCUUAACCCUCCAUAAAAUCUCAUUGUUGCCAAUAAUUAAGAGCUGGUUGCCUUUGAAAUACUUUGAUUAUCUGACUGGACAAAGAUGGUGCAGCAGGCAGAUCACAUGCAGGAAAAUCUCCACAUGCAGAGACAUAUCUGGGAGUGAAUUCAAUUUGACCAGAUCUGAUUUUUCACAUUCACAUCCAGCCAAUCCUUAAAGUUGGAUUCAUGAGUCUGAGAAAAUUCCAGCCAAUAAUGCAGGGAAAUUUCCCAUGGGAAAUCCACAUAAAAUUGAACAUAAACACAGUUAGUUAGAGUCCUACAGCAUGGAAAUGGACCCUUUGGUCCAACUCUCCAUGUGGACCAGAUAUCCUAAUAUAAUCUAGUUCCAUUUGCCACAUUUGGUCCAUAUCUCUUUAAA